rnacentral:rRNA from 1 species
UACGAAGGGGGCUAGCGUUGCUCGGAAUCACUGGGCGUAAAGGGUGCGUAGGCGGGUCUUUUAAGUCAGGGGUGAAAUCCUGGAGCUCAACUCCAGAACUGCCUUUGAUACUGAGGAUCUUGAGUUCGGGAGAGGUGAGUGGAACUGCGAGUGUAGAGGUGAAAAUUGUAGAUAUUCGCAAGAACACCAGUGGCGAAGGCGGCUCACUGGCCCGAUACUGAC